UAUAUUCCUCACAAGCUUAAUAUAUGAUUUAAUGUUUAUUUGAUCAACCCCUUUUCCUAUUUCUCAUCAUUAAUAUAGGUUUUCUUGUCUUGCCUUUAAUUUGAAUUUUCGAAUUGAAUUACAGGAGAUCUGAUUGAAUUUUGGUUAUUUUUAUGUUCUCUUUAAUCGUCAGACUCGCCGCCGUCAUGAUUGCCGCUCCACCAUCAUAUCUCCGACUCCUGUCUUGUUGCUGCCCCAACUAACACCGUUUUUAAGGUUUAAGGUUUAAGUCUAAUGCAGAGCAGCGAGAUAAAGUUCAUAGUUCAUCGUUUUUUUUUCCAGUUGCAGUCAAGUGAAAGAGCUAGGAAAUAUUUGAAGAGGCGAAGAACUUAUAAAGAAUUAUAGUAUGGGAAGUGGGAACAUCAAUUUAUUCAUUUUUUGUUUUUAAUUUCAGUUGUAAAUUAGAGUUACUUCGUAAUAUGUAUGUUUGUGUAUUUGAACUUUAUUGUAAUAUUAACACAUAUAUACAAGAAGUUUUUGGAAA